rnacentral:rRNA from 1 species
AUUGAACGCUGGCGGCAUGCCUUACACAUGCAAGUCGAACGGUAACGGGCCUUCGGGUGCCGACGAGUGGCGAACGGGUGAGUAAUACAUCGGAACGUGCCCGAUCGGGGGGGAUAACGAGGCGAAAGCUUUGCUAAUACCGCAUACGAUCUACGGAUGAAAGCAGGGGACCGCAAGGCCUUGCGCGGACGGAGCGGCCGAUGGCAGAUUAGGUAGUUGGUGGGAUAAAAGCUUACCAAGCCGACGAUCUGUAGCUGGUCUGAGAGGAUGAUCAGCCACACUGGGACUGAGACACGGCCCAGACUCCUACGGGAGGCAGCAGUGGGGAAUUUUGGACAAUGGGCGCAAGCCUGAUCCAGCCAUGCCGCGUGCAGGAUGAAGGCCUUCGGGUUGUAAACUGCUUUUGUGCGGAACGAAAAGCCUUCUUUUAAUACAGGAGGGUCAUGACGGUACCGUAAGAAUAAGCACCGGCUAACUACGUG